AUGGAGCUUCUGAGGAUCUCAUAUCUCAAGCUUCAACUUCAAACAGUAGAGCUUAGUUUUCAUCUUCUUCGUGCUCACUUCAGUGUCGAUUUGCUUCUUAACAGAGUGUCAAUCAUGAAAACGGUUCUUUGUAACAGUGAUGAGCUUGGAAAUUCUCUGGAGCAUAACAUAGUUCAUGGUAGAUGCUUACUCUGUACUCAUACAAAUGUUUGCUGA